UUAGGGGAACUCUUUGGUGCACUUCUUCGCUUGGCAGGUUAGCAUCAAUUUUGGAUGUCAUAAAAUUACUGGGGGAAGGUAGCUCCCUUCGGGGAGUGUUAUAGCCUUGGUAGAUGUGAUGACCGGGAUUGAGGAUUGCAGCGGAUACUUUUGGGCUAGCCGCCUGGUCUCUAAUACGAAGUUGGGUUAUGGACAGCACGCUGACUGUGAUCUGAUUUUCGGUUAAAAGAUUAGAGCGAGUGUAAAUUCGUUAAGGAUGUUGACGUAAA
rnacentral:rRNA from 1 species